rnacentral:misc_RNA from 1 species
ACACCCUCAACCUUUUCUUGGUUUAUCAUCAAAACUGGGGAAGGGCUUGGACUUUGGAUGUUGCUGGCCUCGCCAGCUCGUCCUAAAUGAAUUAGUGGGGUCCGCCGUGCCGAUCCUCGACGUGUUAAGUACGCUUCUACGUCUUGGGGUUUCGCACCGUUACCCGCUUCCAACCUUUUAUAAUAAAUAAAC